ACAUGCCUACAACAUAGUGUUAAUGCAUCAUAUCCCAUUAGAGAUCUGUAGUUAAGCACACUCAGGUUAGAGUAGUACUGGGAUGGGUGACCGCCCGUGAAUUCCUAAUAUUUUACAUGCC
rnacentral:rRNA from 1 species